rnacentral:rRNA from 1 species
AGAAUCAACGCUGGCGGCGUGCCUAACACAUGCAAGUCGAACGAGAAAGUGGAGCAAUCCAUGAGUACAGUGGCGACCGGGUGAGUAACACGUGACUACCUACCCUUGAGUGGGGGAUAACCUCGGGAAACCGAGGCUAAUACCGCAUAAUAUCGAGAGAUCAAAGGAGCAAUUCGCUUUUGGAGGGGUCGCGGCUGAUUAGCUAGUUGGCGGGGUAAUGGCCCACCAAGGCGAAGAUCGGUA